rnacentral:rRNA from 1 species
GACGAACGCUGGCGGCGUGCUUAACACAUGCAAGUCGAGCGGAAAGGCCACUUCGGUGGUACUCGAGCGGCGAACGGGUGAGUAACACGUGAGUAAUCUGCCCCUGGCUUUGGGAUAGCCACCGGAAACGGUGAUUAAUACCGGAUACGACCACUUCUCGCAUGGGAUGGUGGUGGAAAGUUUUUUCGGCCAGGGAUGUGCUCGCGGCCUAUCAGCUUGAUGGUGAGGUAAUGGCUCACCAUGGCUUCGACGGGUAGCCGGCCUGAGAGGGUGACCGGUCACACUGGGACUGAGACACGGCCCAGACUCCUACGGGAGGCAGCAGUGGGGAAUAUUGCACAAUGGGCGCAAGCCUGAUGCAGCGACGCCGCGUGAGGGAUGACGGCCUUCGGGUUGUAAACCUCUUUCAGCACCGACGAAGCGCAAGUGACGGUAGGUGCAGAAGAAGGACCGGCCAACUACGUGCCAGCCGCCGCAGUAA